CAUUCCUCCAUGGCUUCUGCAUCAGCUCCUCCUUCCUGACCUGCUUGAGUUCCAGUCCUGACUUCCUUUGGUGAUGAACAGCUGUGUGGAAGGAGUGAGGCUGGGAAUAUUUAACCAGACUCUGAAGGUCUGUCCUGGCCAACUACACAUGACGGAACAGCAAAGAGGACGAUUAACUCCCUGUGAACUGACCAGUAAGCGCUGCAUACUGCGAGCCCGUGUAAAGACCAGGGUGAAAGCAGGGCCAUUUGAAUGAUGGCCAGACCUGACAAAUCUGUGGGGAACAGUUUUGGUUUUGCCAUAUUUUGAUUUGUUUUCAUUGAGACAGAACCUCACUAUGUAGCCAAGACUGGCCUCGGAUUCACCACCCUCCUACCUCAGCCUUCGAAAUGGUGAGAUUAUAGGGAUGUGCCACCAUCCCCAGAUUGCCUGGGGAACUGAUGAAGGAAAGCAGUUCCUUUUCUGAGGGACUCGUCCACCAAAAAGGAAUGCAGCCAGGAUACCAAGGACCACGACCACAAGGGCAUACCAGGGAGAAACCCCAGCAUGUGUUCAUGGGCACAGCCCAAGUGUGUCAUGCAAUCUUAGAUAAGUCACUUAGCCAUUCUGCAAGACGGAAAAGAGAGCUGUGCCCAGCUCACAAGAUCAUUCUGGGAACAAACACCUGUGAUGUGUUUGCAACAGUGCCCAGCAUGUGGCGAGCGCUUGUUAAACAAAAUGUGUGUUGUGAAAGAUUUUAUAAUCUGGAGUUAAAAACCAGGGUCUACCGUACUUGGCACUGUGGAGCUAAGUAGCCAGGGGAAUGAGCUGUGGGUUGCUGGUGGCUACAGUCAAAUUCCAUGGAGAUAACCACUGUGGACCACAGGUUUGCCAUGAGCCACCAGGGUGAUGGUGGUGGGCGCUUUAAAUGCAUCUCAUCUAUGUGAGAACAAUCUGCAGCUGAAUUUGAUUCUAAGUAAAAUUGGUAUGGCUCAAUGGGAGAGCACUCACCUAGCACGCAGGAGUCACUGAGUUCUACCCCAGCUCCCAAAGAGUGAAGCUCUAGAUAUAAGGAUAAUAAUAGGCCGGGCACGGGGUGAGGAGUCUCCCAGGGUCUACAGCUCACAGGCAGAGAGCUAGUCUCUGAAGAAGGAUGGUUCCCGUGAGCCACUGGUGACCCAGUCAGGUGACCACAGUGCCAGACUAUAGCCUGGCACCCGGACUCACCCACAGACAAGAUCUCUUGGCACUUCUCGCACUGGCCCUUCAUCUUCAGGCAUC